GACGAACGCUGGCGGCGUGCUUAACACAUGCAAGUCGAACGGAAAGGCCCUGCUUUUGUGGGGUGCUCGAGUGGCGAACGGGUGAGUAACACGUGAGUAACCUGCCCUUGACUUUGGGAUAACUCCAGGAAACUGGAGCUAAUACCGGAUAGGAGCUCCUGCUGCAUGGUGGGGGUUGGAAAGUUUCGGCGGUUGGGGAUGGACUCGCGGCUUAUCAGCUUGUUGGUGGGGCAGUGGCUUACCAAGGCUUUGACGGGUAGCCGGCCUGAGAGGGUGACCGGCCACAUUGGGACUGAGAUACGGCCCAGACUCCUACGGGAGGCAGCAGUGGGGAAUAUUGCACAAUGGGCGGAAGCCUGAUGCAGCAACGCCGCGUGCGGGAUGACGGCCUUCGGGUUGUAAACCGCUUUCGCCUGUGGCGAAGCGUGAGUGACGGUAAUGGGUAAAGAAGCACCGGCUAACUACGUG
rnacentral:rRNA from 1 species